AUCCUUUUAUAGUUCAUAAGCAUGAUGACUGGGUGUUUAUGCACACGUGUGAGAUCUGCCACUCUCUGAACCUUGUUACAACAUUGGCACAUUACUCGUCUAACC
ensembl:snoRNA